CCGUAGGCAAAUAUCAACAACUUCAUGAAAAUACCCAUUUUGUGACGUGGAAUGUCCUUCUGGCUGAACGGGGGAUGACCAUGGAGGAGAACGCACAGGAACAUUUUUAAAUGAAUGACUGAUUAUAAAUCUAUAGAAAAUAUUAAGAUAACUAAUAUUGAGAGGAAAAGAGGACCUGAGCCCUAGGACCAUGCCUCAGUACUACCUGGCCCAAUGACUCCUUGCUGUCCCCAGUCCACCUGGUCAUCCUGCUGCGCCAGAUUCAACUGUUCUGCCUGCGGCUAUGGAACCCUGACCUGUUCACUGGACGUGCUACCUUGUCCCGGACCUGCUGUUUUGGACUCUCUCCACCACACCUGCUGUCUCUAACUCUGAAUGAUUGGCUAUGAAAAGCCAACUGAUAUUUACUCCUGAGGUGCUGACUUGUUGCACCCCCUAUGAACACUGUAAUUAUUAUUAUCUGAUCCUCCUGGUCAUCAAUUAACGUUUGAACAUCUUGGCCAUGUUCUGUUAUAAUCUCCACCUGGCACAGGUCACCACUGCAUACAGGCCUACUCUGUAGCUACAUGACAACAUUGAUAAUCACCACAACCUAAUGUUUUCAACCACUGUGAAUCAGUUUGUAAAAUAUCAGAGCCCUAUGACCAUGAAUAUUAGGCGAAGUGGUCUUCCCUAAUGAAGUCAAACCAAUCCAGAACCAUUCGCAACCUCUGGCCGAGGAUGCCCUAUCGCGCAGGAAAACAGCUGAUCCAACCAAGAGGUAACUGAGUUUAAAAUGUUUGUGAGACUGCGCUAAACAAUGGCUCCGGCUACUUUUAACUUGCAACCUGAUUUUCAAAUGAACGUUUAAGUAACUUCGAUGUGUCUGCCUUUCCUAAGAAGUUGGAGAAUGUGUCAAAUAAAAAUGCAGAUAAACGCUAAAACAAACGUUCCACGGAUUGUCUACGCAUAGGAGGAGUAAAUAGCAUUGUUAUUCUGCCCUACACGGUAUCAAGAACACAGGUCAUACUCAAAGUCCAUGAAUGGGAAUUAAUGGAUGAGAAUGAGCACAUAAAAUUGCUGACGGCAAUCAUUGUCACAUGGUUUGGGCUGCAUCUGGAACCAGGGGUGCAACUAGUUUUAGAAGUCGGGGGACAUCACCUGGUGGGGGUCCUCCCUCAGAUUUUUGGUGACAUCUAAAGCUAAUUUCCUCAAUUUCUAGGCUAGUUCCAGGCUGUAGCAGACAAAAAAAAACUUGGUCGAGAAAGAGUAGUCUUUUCUUUCGACCAAAUGAUUGCCAAAUAUCAAUGUGAUUCACAUUUUCAAACAGUCCAUUUAUAUUUCUCAACGGGGCUAUACGUUUGGGUGAUGUUUUUUUCUUGCCCGAGUAGCCUCGUUUCACUGCCAAAAAUAAAAUCAAACCAUCUAGUGUUCAGCGAAAUAACAAUGUCAAAUACAGGUAGCCUAGUCAAAUAAUUAACAUCUAAUAACAUUAACCGUUGCUCUCUCGCGGGAAUUCCACUAAAUGUAUGUAGCCAAACAAAAGACAAAUAAAUUGACAACAUUCGUAAAUGGAAUGAAAAAAAACUUGUUUCUCACAAGUGUAGUAUAGGUUGAGUUCUGCAAAACACCGUGUCCACUCUGAGAAUGGUAAAUGACUAAUAAUAAUAUAUUCAAUGCAUUAACAGAAAUGAUCGUAACCAAACAAACAUCUUAGAUUAGAAAUUCUGGGAAUUAACGGUAAACGUAGGCUAAUGCUAGUGAUAUAUGUAACGGGGAUUUGAUAGACACAGCAGACAAUGCACACAAUGAAGUUAUGAAACAAUGAAUGAAUACUCCUCAAUGGAUUUCACCACGGCCUCCUCAAAGGAUUAGUCCACUGAGACAGGCGCAAAUCAGAC
ensembl:lncRNA